AUUGAACGCUGGCGGCAGGCUUAACACAUGCAAGUCGAGCGGGGUGAUGGUGCUUGCACUAUCACUUAGCGGCGGACGGGUGAGUAAUGCUUAGGAAUCUGCCUAUUAGUGGGGGACAACAUCUCGAAAGGGAUGCUAAUACCGCAUACGUCCUACGGGAGAAAGCAGGGGAUCACUUGUGACCUUGCGCUAAUAGAUGAGCCUAAGUCGGAUUAGCUAGUUGGUGGGGUAAAGGCCCACCAAGGCGACGAUCUGUAGCGGGUCUGAGAGGAUGAGCCGCCAACGUGGGACUGGGACAAGGCCCAGAGUCGUACGGGGGGCAGCAGUGGGGAAUAUUGGACAAUGGGGGGAACCCUGAUCCAGCCAUGCCGCGUGUGUGAAGAAGGCCUUAUGGUUGUAAAGCACUUUAAGCGAGGAGGAGGCUCUUUUGGUUAAUACCCAAGAUGAGUGGACGUUACUCGCAGAAUAAGCACCGGCUAACUCUGUGCCAGCCGCCGCCGUAA
rnacentral:rRNA from 1 species